rnacentral:lncRNA from 1 species
UGUAAGUGUAAGUGUGUGGGUGUUAGUGUGAGUGUCAGUUUAGGCGUGAUAGGCGGAUAUACAUGUAAAUAGGGCUGAAAAGUGACUGGUAGCAGGAACAUAUUAAUACUUAUACCACAGCAUUGUUGAAUACUCGUUUCUGAUUGGUUUGAAGGGCAUUCUAGAAUGGACAUUAAAACCAGGUAACGGGACAGUUGGAAACAAUAUCGGGACACGUUGCAAUCAUGACGCAAUAAGCGCCUACACAUGCAGACCGUACUUACUAGAAAGUUAAAGAAAACUAAACCAAUAACCACACAAUCUGAAAUUAGAUACAUUGUAAACUCAGGUGCAACGAGGGAAAACGUAGCUAGCUAGAUGAUUCGUUUUUGCAGAGACAUAUUUUUUUAAGCCUCUCAUGACCUAACAUGGUGAGUGAUGAACAUGGAUUUCUCUGGUCCCUACUGUUGCAGUCAUGUCGUUGUCAAAAUCAUCACCACAUGUUUCUAGUUUGACCAGCUGUUUUCAGCAAUGGUAUUUCUAUUUUUUUGGUUGUCAUAUUGGCAGGUUUGCUAGCAACAAACUAUUUAGCUAGCUUCUAGCCUAUCAGGUAUCAAUGUAAGACCCAAGUGCAGACUGUGUGAAGUAACAAUGUUUAUUGUAACAACCGGGACAGGCAAACGACAGGUCAAGGCAGGCAAGGGUCGAUAAUCCAGAGUAGGAGCAAAGGUACAGGACGGCAGGCAGGCUCAGGGUCAGGCAGAGUUCAGUAACCCAGAGGUGGAGCAAAGGAACAGGACAGCAGGCAGGCUCAGGGUCAGGCAGAGUGGUCAGGCAGGCGGGUACAGGGUCAGGACAGGCAAGGGUCAAAAACCAGAAGGAAGAGGAAAAAGAGAGGCUGGGAAAAGACAGGAGCUGAAAGGACAAACCCUGGCUCUUGAGAGGCGAAGUUCGAGUCACGCGUCCUUCGAAACAAGACCUGCCAAACCACGCUUCAUAACAGCGGCCUGCUUAACCCGGAAGCCAGGCGCACCAAUGGAGGAAACACUGUGCAACUGACUACCGAAGGCACUUGGCCCGCCACAAGGAGUCGCUAGAGCGCAAUGAGCCAAGUAAAGCCUCCCCGGCCAAACCUCACCCUAACCCGGAGACACUGAGCCAAUUGUGCACCGCCCUAUGGGACUCCCGGUCAGCCUGGAGAUCAAACCCGGGUCUGUAGUGACGCCUCAAGCACUGCGAUGCAGUGCCUUAGACCGCUGCGCCACACGGGAGGCCUAUAAGUUAUAGAAUUAGACUGUUCACUGGGUGUGUGCGUGUCUCCCUUUGCCUCUAUUACGAUAUCUUUCUGCCUGAUAAACCAGUGAUAGCUCUGCAUUGCACCUUGUUUUUCUCACUUAUUGUGGACUCUGUAAUCACACUUUAUCACACAUAUCUAUCAACAAUAUAUCAUUAUCAACCUAUCAAAUAUAUCAUUACAAGCGCCAACCGGCAAGAUAUUCAUUAAACAACCUUUUUCAUCAUCCAUUACUCAAUUAUUACUCAAUUAUUGCAUGGAACAACACAUGGACAUUAUGAAUAGUCUCGAAAACCAGACCCUAGGCAACAGUGAUUAAGGUCCUGUUUCAAUGACAGAUUAUUUGGGCAAUUUCAACAAGGGACAAAAAAAUUGUGACAGACAACUCCUCCAACAAAUCACAAGUUUUAUUUAUUUUACCUUUAUUUAAC